rnacentral:rRNA from 1 species
AGAGUUUGAUCCUGGCUCAGGAUGAACGCUAGCUACAGGCUUAACACAUGCAAGUCGAGGGGCAGCAUGGUCUUAGCUUGCUAAGGCCGAUGGCGACCGGCGCACGGGUGAGUAACACGUAUCCAACCUGCCGUCUACUCUUGGACAGCCUUCUGAAAGGAAGAUUAAUACAAGAUGGCAUCAUGAGUCCGCAUGUUCACAUGAUUAAAGGUAUUCCGGUAGACGAUGGGGAUGCGUUCCAUUAGAUAGUAGGCGGGGUAACGGCCCACCUAGUCUUCGAUGGAUAGGGGUUCUGAGAGGAAGGUCCCCCACAUUGGAACUGAGACACGGUCCAAACUCCUACGGGAGGCAGCAGUGAGGAAUAUUGGUCAAUGGGCGAGAGCCUGAACCAGCCAAGUAGCGUGAAGGAUGACUGCCCUAUGGGUUGUAAACUUCUUUUAUAAAGGAAUAAAGUCGGGUAUGCAUACCCGUUUGCAUGUACUUUAUGAAUAAGGAUCGGCUAACUCCGUGCCAGCAGCCGCGGUAAUACGGAGGAUCCGAGCGUUAUCCGGAUUUAUUGGGUUUAAAGGGAGCGUAGAUGGAUGUUUAAGUCAGUUGUGAAAGUUUGCGGCUCAACCGUAAAAUUGCAGUUGAUACUGGAUAUCUUGAGUGCAGUUGAGGCAGGCGGAAUUCGUGGUGUAGCGGUGAAAUGCUUAGAUAUCACGAAGAACUCCGAUUGCGAAGGCAGCCUGCUAAGCUGCAACUGACAUUGAGGCUCGAAAGUGUGGGUAUCAAACAGGAUUAGAUACCCUGGUAGUCCACACGGUAAACGAUGAAUACUCGCUGUUUGCGAUAUACAGCAAGCGGCCAAGCGAAAGCGUUAAGUAUUCCACCUGGGGAGUACGCCGGCAACGGUGAAACUCAAAGGAAUUGACGGGGGCCCGCACAAGCGGAGGAACAUGUGGUUUAAUUCGAUGAUACGCGAGGAACCUUACCCGGGCUUAAAUUGCAGAUGAAUUACGGUGAAAGCCGUAAGCCGCAAGGCAUCUGUGAAGGUGCUGCAUGGUUGUCGUCAGCUCGUGCCGUGAGGUGUCGGCUUAAGUGCCAUAACGAGCGCAACCCUUGUUGUCAGUUACUAACAGGUUCUGCUGAGGACUCUGACAAGACUGCCAUCGUAAGAUGUGAGGAAGGUGGGGAUGACGUCAAAUCAGCACGGCCCUUACGUCCGGGGCUACACACGUGUUACAAUGGGGGGUACAGAAGGCAGCUACACGGCGACGUGAUGCUAAUCCCUAAAGCCUCUCUCAGUUCGGAUUGGAGUCUGCAACCCGACUCCAUGAAGCUGGAUUCGCUAGUAAUCGCGCAUCAGCCACGGCGCGGUGAAUACGUUCCCGGGCCUUGUACACACCGCCCGUCAAGCCAUGGGAGCCGGGGGUACCUGAAGUGCGUAACCGCGAGGAGCGCCCUAGGGUAAAACUGGUGACUGGGGCUAAGUCGUAACAAGGUAGCCGUACCGGAAGGUGCGGCUG